rnacentral:misc_RNA from 1 species
GGAAGUAAAAGUCGUAACAUGGUUUCCGUAGGUGAACCUGCGGAAGGAUCAUUAUCGUACAAAAUGUGAGGGGCAUGCGAGGGCUGUCGCUGACCAAAAAGUCGUGCACGCCCGAGUGUGUCCUCUUGCAUAAUAAUCCAUCUCACCCUUUGUGCAUCACCGCGUGGGCACCCUUCGGGAUCAUCUCGGAGGGGGGCUCGCGUUUUCACACAAACCCCCCUUUUAAAAGUGUAGAAUGACCACAUUUAUGCAAUCAAUACAACUUUCAACAACGGAUCUCUUGGCUCUC